UGGGAGGGUAGGGGCUGGCGUCUCCACCUCCGGCUGGCACUCGGACUCAACUUUAACCUGCCCGCCGCACUCCGGCUUUUAACUUCAUCUCCCUGACACCCGCCGCACUGGUCUAUUAUUAUCCUGAAGAGACACGCAAUCAUUGGCAGUUUCUAACUGUCAACAGGCCGGCAGUUUUAACUUGAAUAAGAUGCUGCCAGACUUCAUCCACCACCUUUAAAUUUCACGUCCUCCACCACAACAAUUUGCCAAGAUUGUUUUGAUGGAACCUUCUGAACCUGCACCCAUUGCUACUUUAAAAAAAAAGAUUGUAGGCAGCAAACCACACACCAUCCCAACUUGGAAUCGUAUCACUGUUAUCUCAUUGUUGCUGCAUCAAAAUCUUGGAACUCCAUAACAGCACUGAGGGUCUGCCUACAUCCCAAGGAUUGCAACUGUUCAAGAAGACCACUCACCACCACUUUCAAUGGACAUUUUGGAAUAGAAAUCAAGUACUGACCUUGCCAGUGAUCUCACAUCCCCUGAAUGCUUAAAGAAUAUUCAAAGGAAUGAUGCAGGGAAAAUGAUUAAAAGGAAGUUUUCCUGAUGUAAGUGCCUCCUUCUGGUGGGAUCAGCAAUAAUGAACACUGUUUCCCAAGUGGAACCACCAAAAGAAAAUAUCUUAAACCCUGAAAUGGCAAACACUGAAAACGCAAAGUCUUUGUUGUCUGAAGCUGGGCCUAUCGUUCAUGCUUUGGAUGCUAAAGUAACCCAAGGCUGUUACCCUGAACUUCCUAAAGGAUGGAAGAGAAUAGUGAAAGAAAGAAAAACUGGGAAGUCAGCAGGAAAAUCUGAUGUUUACGUUAUAAGUCCUCAGGGGAAGCAAUUUCGAUCCUCAAACGAACUUAAAAAUUACUUUCAGAGAAGUGCCAGAGAGGAAAAUCUGAAGCCUGAAGACAUUAAUGUUUUCUGGCGAUGCUGUCCUCAGGAAAGGAUUACUGUUGAUAAACAGUCAGAUCAGCUACAGCCCACCACUCCAACAACGCAAGAUUUCAACGCAUUGACUGUCGACCUUCCACAAACUGUGUCACAAGAUGCCAAUAGAGAGGAGAGAUCUGAAACCAAGGGUGGCUGCAGUAAAAGACAGAGGCAGACAGAGGUUAAAAAUGCCUCAAAGCAGAAACCUAAAAAAGGUGCAAGACUGCAAAACUCUAGCAGGCAGUGGUUGUGUUCGAGGAGAGGAUUGUCUGCAAGAGCAGACCAGAAAGAACUUGCUUCAUCUGAAGAAAAGGAGCUGGGUGAUGGGACCCCACUUGAUGGAGGUAAAGAGAGUCCCAAAGCUAAGAGGAAAGCCAGUAGAAGAAAAUCUAAAUAUCAAGCAGCAGACAGCAAAAAGCAGUCUCGAAAGGAGCAGGCAUUUGAAAGCAAGGGGACACUGGAAGUACAAGUAGAAGAAGCUGAUGAGCCUGCCUCUGAAGUAUCAAAGUUUAACAGGCAGAUGGCACUGACGAGCAAUGGAAGAUCUGAAAUAAAACCAAGCACCAGCCCUUCACAUUGCUCAGAAUCAGAAAUUCCCUCUGAAGACACAGGCAGAGACACAAAGGAUUCCAGUGGGGACAGUUUUACAUUGCUGAAAACCCAAGACAAUCAUUCUACUCCAAGAGUAAAGCAGGAUAAAAGGAAGACUAGCCCAUACUUUUCUAAGAAGUAUUCUGAAGGAGCAUCCAGCCCACCACGACGUAAAGCCUUUGCCAAAUGGAUUCCUCCUCGAUCCCCAUUCAAACUGGUCCAGGAGACUCUCUUUCAUGAUCCUUGGAAACUUCUUAUUGCAACCAUACUUCUUAAUAAAACCUCUGGUAAAAAGGCCAUUCCUGUGUUGUGGGAUUUCCUGGAAAGAUACCCUUCUGCGGAGGUGGCCCGAGUAGCUGAUUGGAAAGAAAUAGCUGCACUUCUGAAACCACUUGGCCUGUAUGAGCUGAGAGCAAAAGCUAUCAUCAAGUUUUCUGACGAGUUCCUAACCAAACAGUGGAAAUACCCAAUUGAACUGCAUGGCAUCGGGAAGUAUGGGAAUGAUUCCUACAGGAUUUUCUGUGUCAAAGAAUGGAAGGAGCAGCCCUGUUGAAAACGUGGGUGUUGAUGGAUUAAGAAGAGGGGCUAAAAAGCCUGACAGCACUCCAGGUAGAGAAAUCGCCAGGCCUGGAUGGAAUGCGUCCUACACUGCUAAGAGAGGUGCAGCCACGAGAUCACAAACUCAACAAGUACUGGGAGUGGCUUUGGGCAAAUCAGGAGACAUUGGGUCUGUCCUAAAUCCACACAACGCUGGUGAUUCUUCACAAAGUGUAUCAGUUGAAAUUCUUUGCAUGCUGAUAACUCUCAGAGGUAUGAUUGAUGCACAGGCUAGAUGUGUGCAUUCUGUUUAUAAUAGAAAUGCAGACCCAGCAAUUAGCUCCCUGCAGUGGUGGAUAAAGAUUUGCAAGGAGCAUUGUAAAUCAUGGCAAGCCGAGUGGCAGUAGUUUUCAUUGGGCUCAGGUUAGCUGAUCUUCAUCAUGUGCUACAAUUAGUCUCAUUACUCCUUCCAACAAAAGUGAGGGUGGGAAUCAGGGAUGAAAGACAUCACACGGAUUCCUGCUUCUCACCACUAUCUUAAAAGAAAUCGGACAUUAAAUUAAAACAAGACUGUAGAUCUGAUUUUAAACCAGAAUUAUAUUAGCCACACUUUCUGGCCAUGUUGCUGUUAAUUUUGUUCUCAGAGGUAAUGUCCCUGAAGUAUGACAUUGAAAUUGAUAUAGUCACAUGUAGUACAAUCCCUGAUUGUGCAACACAUAUGCCUCAUUGCACAGGGUGUUGAACUCUUACCAUGUGGGCAGUAUAGUUCAUCCAUUAUAUAUUAGAUCAAUUAACCUAAGCAGCUUUUACACAAGUUCCAAACCAUUGUACUUGGCAACACAAACUUAAUAUUCUUUGCUCGCACUGGAACAUUUGACAAUCUUUUUGCUCUGUAGAUCAGCGAAGUGAGCAUGUGUUUAACAGUUACCACUCCUAAAAUUGUCUCAAUCAAUUUUACAGCUUUACAGUAGCAAUAAGCUGCUACUAUAACUAAUGUAAUUGAUUAUUAUAAGAUAAUGUUGAGCCAGUAGUCAUAAUUUGCGAUAUACUGCAGAGGAAAUAUAAUGAGAAACUAAUAAGAAGCCAUAUGCAAAGGGAGAAAUAUAUUUACCUCUCCUAUAAUAUGGUGUGUUGCUCUGUUGAUCAGUGUUUGCAACACUAGAGAAACUCUAUCUUCUUUCUCCCUUGCAUGUUGUGGAAUUAAUAUGAUCCCUGCUCCCCACUAUAUUUCCUCUCUCAAAGUUAAGGAAUUACAACAGCAUGUUGUAAUAUCCUGCUUCAUGUGCAGUAUAGUACACGCUGGCUGUCUCUUCCACUGGAACAUUUUGUCUUAAUCUACUUUCUCUCACUUCUUCUGGGAUUUCCCUCAUGGGACAGUGUUGCUUUUCAGUGCCAUUUUUACGUCUUCAGGAAAGUUUGGACUGUUGGCCUGUGAGAACUGGAACAAAUGCUGGACUCUCAUCACUGUUUGCAAAACUGGAGACGUUAUUUUCGUCAUAUUGAGAUAUAACAACAUGAAUUAGGUUUUAGAAAUUGAGUACUUACAUUAGAUUUCUCAUGGAAUUGAAUUUUUUAUUUUUCAUAUUGUUUCAAGUUAAAUAAAAGUCUAAAAAUACAAA